rnacentral:rRNA from 1 species
UCACUGGCUAUCAGAUGAGCCUAGGUCGGAUUAGCUAGUUGGUCGGUGGUAAUGGCCUACCAAGGCGACGAUCCGUAACUGGUCUGAGAGGAUGAUCAGUCACACUGGAACUGAGACACGGUCCAGACUCCUACGGGAGGCAGCAGUGGGGAAUAUUGGACAAUGGGCGAAAGCCUGAUCCAGCCAUGCCGCGUGUGUGAAGAAGGUCUUCGGAUUGUAAAGCACUUUAAGUUGGGAGGAAGGGCUGCUGGUUAAUACCCUGCAGUUUUGACGUUACCAACAGAAUAAGCACCGGCUAACUUCGUGCCAGCAGCCGCGGUAAUACGAAGGGUGCAAGCGUUAAUCGGAAUUACUGGGCGUAAAGCGCGCGUAGGUGGUUGGGUAAGUUGAAUGUGAAAGCCCCGGGCUCAACCUGGGAACUGCAUCCAAAACUGCCCGACUAGAGUACGGUAGAGGGUGGUGGAAUUUCCUGUGUAGCGGUGAAAUGCGUAGAUAUAGGAAGGAACACCAGUG